GACGAACGCUGGCGGCGUGCCUAAUACAUGCAAGUAGAACGCACAGUUUAUACCGUAGCUUGCUACACCAUAAACUGUGAGUUGCGAACGGGUGAGUAACGCGUAGGUAACCUGCCUGGUAGCGGGGGAUAACUAUUGGAAACGAUAGCUAAUACCGCAUAAUAUUGAUUAUUGCAUGAUAAUUGAUUGAAAGAUGCUAUUGCAUCACUACCAGAUGGACCUGCGUUGUAUUAGCUAGUAGGUGAGGUAACGGCUCGCCUAGGCGACGAUACAUAGCCGACCUGGGAGGGUGAUCGGCCACACUGGGACUGGGACACGGCCCAGACUCCUACGGGAGGCAGCAGUAGGGAAUCUUCGGCAAUGGACGAAAGUCUGACCGAGAAACGCCGCGUGAGUGAAGAAGGUUUUCGGAUCGUAAAGCUCUGUUGUAAGAGAAGAACGGGUGUGAGAGUGGAAAGUUCACACUGUGACGGUAUCUUACCAGAAAGGGACGGCUAACUACGUG
rnacentral:rRNA from 1 species